UCUUGGAUAUUUCUGUACGAUCCUGUCCCGUGGUGCCCUAAUUUCUGAACCAAAUCUUCAAAUGGGGUAACACUAACUUAGGUGAAUGGCGUUAGGCUGGUUUAUGGCAGGGGAGGAUUGAGGCCUUAUUGUAAGGAACAAGAGGAUUAUAUUGGCUUCAGAGUUCAUUGCCAAUUCCUCCCU